GGGCCUAUAGCUCAGCUGGUUAGAGCGCACGCCUGAUAAGCGUGAGGUCGAUGGUUCGAGUCCAUUUAG
rnacentral:tRNA from 1 species